rnacentral:rRNA from 1 species
UACGUAGGGGGCAAGCGUUGUCCGGAAUCAUUGGGCGUAAAGAGCGCGUAGGCGGCCCUGUAAGUCCGCUGUGAAAGUCAAGGGCUCAACCCUUGAAUGCCGGUGGAUACUCGCAGGGCUAGAGUCCGGAAGAGGCGAGUGGAAUUCCUGGUGUAGCGGUGAAAUGCGCAGAUAUCGGGAGAACACCGGUGGCGAAGGCGGUUCACUGGGCCUGUACUGACGCUGAGGAGCGAAGCGUGGGGAGCGAACAGGAUUC